UACGGGGGGGGCAAGCGUUGUUCGGAAUUACUGGGCGUAAAGGGCGCGUAGGCGGUUCGCUAAGUUGGAUGUGAAAACUCUGGGCUCAACCCAGAGCCUGCAUCCAAAACUGGCGGGCUAGAGUUCUGGAGGGGGUAGCGGAAUUCCUGGUGUAGCGGUGAAAUGCGCAGAUAUCGGGAGGAACACCAAUGGCGAAGGCAGCUUGCUGGGACGGUACUGACGCUGAGGCGCGAAAGCGUGGGGAGCAAACAGG
rnacentral:rRNA from 1 species